CCAAAGGCCCUUUUCAGGGCCGACCACUUUCUCCUCAAAAGAGCCU
rfam:Heterocephalus glaber contig162314, whole genome shotgun sequence.